rnacentral:tRNA from 1 species
GGAUUGUGGCUCAGUGGUAGAACACUUGCCUUGCACGCAUGAAACAAUGGGUUCAAUCCUCAGCACCA